CGGCUGGCCGGAACACAGGUGCUGCAUGGCUGUCGUCAGCUCGUGUCGUGAGAUGUUGGGUUAAGUCCCGCAACGAGCGCAACCCUCGCCCCUAGUUGCCAUCAUUCAGUUGGGAACUCUAGGGGGACUGCCGGUGAUAAGCCGCGAGGAAGGUGGGGAUGACGUCAAGUCCUCAUGGCCCUUACAGGCUGGGCUACACACGUGCUACAAUGGCGGUGACAAUGGGCAGCGAAAGGGUGACCUGGAGCUAAUCCCAAAAAGCCGUCUCAGUUCAGAUUGUACUCUGCAACUCGAGUACAUGAAGGUGGAAUCGCUAGUAAUCGUGGAUCAGCAUGCCACGGUGAAUACGUUCCCGGGUCUUGUACACAC
rnacentral:rRNA from 1 species